CGCUCCAUGGCUCAGUGGUGGGACAUCUGCCUUGCAUGCAGAAGGUCCCAGGUUCAAUCACAGCUCAGGUGGGGCUG